GGUGUAUCCUUAUGUUCUUUAGUUAUCCUUGGCUCCUUUGCUACUCUGGGGUCUCAGUGCCAAAUGCUAUCCACAGAAGACUCAUUCCUGGGUUCCAGGAUGUCUCACCUGUGCUAAACAACUUAAAGGAGGCAGAAUUUUGACCUUGAUUUGUCCAGAGCGCUGAUGAACAUAUUUACGCAUCUUUGAAAGCCAUAUGUUGAUGUCCACGAAAUAUUUGGAACCAUAUUAGUUUUUAUCUAGAAGCGUGGAUCAUCUGGAUUUCCCAUAUCUGUGCUGAGUUUGAAAGCUUCUUAAUAUGCAAGUUGUUCACGAGCACAUUUAAACCUAAUGCACAAUUCACAAAAUGAAACAAACUACUAGUUUAAUGGCAUAUGUUAUACGGGACUGGUAAGCUCUGGUUUUACCUACACAGAAUAAUUCUAUCCGGAACCAAGAGGAUGGGAGUGAACUGACAAAUUUGAAGGAUCCUGGAUCCCUAAGAAAUUUGCGGAUCAGACUUGCAUUUUAUGCCUCUAAAUGAGAGAGAUGAUUUAAGAGCACAUAAAAAAAGUGCUGAAAACAAGAAGUGAUGAUGUGGUAGACCAAGAACUACAAGGAAAUCUCUGAAAGACAGAGGCAGAUGGAUUUAAAACAUGAGAAGAAAUCUCAAAUCAAAGUAUCCAUAGAAAGGCCAUCUGCAAAAAAUCAGAGCAGCUCACAUAGUACACCAACACUACAGAGGAAUAUGGAGAACAUUGGGGCUAAAAAUAUAAGCCAACUCCAUGUUAUAUACAAGGCACGUUCUUAAAAGAAAAUGAAGUAAGAAGGUUAAAGGUCAUGAUGUCAGCAAAUAUAUACUAAUGUGAAAAACUAUCACAAAUUAAACUAUAUAGCAUCAAAAUACUCAAAACAUUUUUUUAAAUAAAAAGGAGGAAGGGACAGAAAUGAAAUAGUCAUAGGACAUGAGCAUAGUUUAAGUCGUAGGCAGAACAAACCAUUAAAUAUAACAUUAUAAAAUAGUUGGAAAUGUAUGAAUAUAGAAUAUUUGAGAAAUUUAAUAAAGUUGAUA